AGUGAACGCUGGCGGUAGGCCUAACACAUGCAAGUCGAACGGCAGCACAGUAAGAGCUUGCUCUUACGGGUGGCGAGUGGCGGACGGGUGAGGAACACAUCGGAAUCUACUUUUUCGUGGGGGAUAACGUAGGGAAACUUACGCUAAUACCGCAUACGACCUACGGGUGAAAGCAGGGGAUCUUCGGACCUUGCGCGAUUGAAUGAGCCGAUGUCGGAUUAGCUAGUUGGCGGGGUAAAGGCCCACCAAGGCGACGAUCCGUAGCUGGUCUGAGAGGAUGAUCAGCCACACUGGAACUGAGACACGGUCCAGACUCCUACGGGAGGCAGCAGUGGGGAAUAUUGGACAAAGGGCGCAAGCCUGAUCCAGCCAUACCGCGUGGGUGAAGAAGGCCUUUGGGUUGUAAAGCCCUUUUGUUGGGAAAGAAAAGCAGCAGGUUAAUACCCCGCUGUUCUGACGGUACCCAAAGAAUAAGCACCGGCUAACUUCGUG
rnacentral:rRNA from 1 species